CUUAACUAUAAAUUACAUAGUUGAUGUUAACUGUGUCAAUCAGUAAACAUGUUAUUGAUCUAAAUGAAGCCAUUUUAAAAUCAGAGUUUCCUUCAUUGUUGUAAUAGGUGAAUCUCACCCUCAGUGAGUUUGGAGAAAGUACUAGAUACUGCCGUGUUGGUGCUUGGUGACAGGCCAAACACAUUCAGUGAUUCCAGGAGGGUUUUUUUACUGGCUGGACCCCGACUCACUCUAGUAUAGGCAGCCAGAGAUCUGAGGGACAUUUUCUCAGGUGGUUCCAGCCUCCGUUUUACUUCCUCAUAAUGGAUUUCGUACUUCCUGGCUUUUGAGCUCUUCAUGUUCGGAUCCAGCAGAGAUGCGACCUCUGCAAAGGGGACCUGCAGUGAUGAUCUGGCACCAUCCUGAGACACUGCGACACUCUCACUUUGUGAUGAGCCUUGUGGAACAUGAACUUGUGAUGGCGCAUGGCUUUGAGACUGCACAUGACUCUGUGAUUGUCCAUGACUUUGAGACUGCAUGUGACUCUGUGAUUGUACAUGACUUUGAGACUGCAUGUGACUCUGUGAUUGGCCAUGGCUUUGAGACUGCAUGUGACUCUGUGAUUGUACAUGACUUUGAGACUGCAUGUGACUCUGUGAUUGGCCAUGGCUUUGAGAUUGGCCCCGUCCUUGACCAUGGCCAUGCAUUGAAGCCUGUACUUGUGAUGCUAUCUGAACUGUAUGUGGUACACUUUGACAGGUGACAUCUUGUGGCAGGACAUGUUGCGUAAUGAUCUGCGCAAUGUUGGGGGCCUGUGGCGGAGUCGAAUACAUUGUUAUGAUAGGAUUCCCAACAGUCACAUGGACCACCUCACUGUUUGGGGGAACAGAGGCCAUGUGCAUUCCAGAAGAUGGAUCCAUUUUGCAAAGUCUCUUCUGAAACAGAGUUUUGCUUAGUUUCAACAAAAUAGUUUUAAUAAUUUCUUGUCUCUUCUUGCAAAAUUACAGUAACUAGAACAGUCAUUUGGAGGGCUUUUGCUGCAAUGUGAUAUCAAAACGAGUGUCUGGUUCCCCCAUAAAACACUAGAAAUAAGAAAGAAAAAAAAACGUUAGUUUUACUACAUUGUCACAUCUUUAUAACUCACUUUCACUUAUUUCAAAAUAACCAACUACAGUACAGUGUUAACCGCAAGAGCAAAUGACUACCGUCACUGCAUGCGCUUACGUGAACUCUGGAGUAGGCGCAUGCGAUUACAAAAAUUCUUCCUUCAGCAGCGUCGUCUGUGCGCCGAAUCAAUUUUGGAGUCGACUCUUGAUUCGCCUAGACUCAGAGAAUCAGUUCUUUAUGGGAGCGACUCCCAGGUCUACAUAUAAUUAGGCUUGAGGGCUUUCGGUAACUAGGGAAAUACUGAAACCCGACCUGUCUAUUAAACCAGUUCCCUUAGAGGAAACACAGUAGCUAGAGUGCUACAUAUGACAGCCUGCUAAACAAACCUAGAUAUUUUUUUCCAAGUACAAAAAUAGCUCACUCAGCAAUGCAAGGCCACAGGGGCACAUUUUAAAGAGACGGAUAAUCCACUUGUUUUUAUGAACACUGCCCAAGCAGGCCAAAGCCUCUUGCAGGGAAGGGGGGUCAUGUUGAAACGUAAUAUGGCUGGGUUUCCUAUCAACCACACAAUCCCGCAUUACUUAUGAUUUACACCGCUAGGCUUGAAUCGGAUGAAAGUUACCGACGGUAUUCUUACUCACCGCGCUACUGUUAUAGUCCUAUUUAAACGGCACUGAUCCUGGAACAGUCCAUGGCGAACCGACCGAAGGCCUCCUUCUUCCUCGAUGCUGUUUCGGCGGGUUGCAAAUCAGCAGACAGACCACUGUCGCCAUAGCUUUUUGAUCUCGAGUGCUCAUUGGUCGAUGUUACUGUCAAUCAAGGGCCACUCGUACGUUGUGUUGUUGAUUCCAAUGUCAAUCAUUGCGUCAUUAUAAAAUGGGCGGAACAUCCGGAGCUUUGCCUGGUCCGACAACAAAGACAGAGGAGCGAUUUAAUGCAGGGUCAGGUGUAGAUUUGCUAGAAAAGCAUAAAUGAAGACUACUUCAGCAGUCUGGAAACGCACUGUGUUUGGCAGACUGAUAAACAGGUCAGUGAGUCCACUGCAAUACUCUUUCAGCCAAGAAAUACUUUUGCAUGUCUGGAAAUGCUGGAAAAACAUGCAAUUUAAGGGGAAAAUCUUUGUUGUUGUUGUUGUUGUUAAAAAAAAGCAUGGAUAAUUCUUCAUUCCUCUCCAGUGACUGAUCAGACAGUAGUGCUGGCUGCCUGGCAAAUCACAGGUUUAUAUUAAUGCACUGGUUCUAAUAUCUUAUAAUUUCCAUAGUAACAGCUCAUUCACAGGGACUUGUACAACAGACGCUGCACAUAACCUAACACUAAUAAUAAACAAAUAAAAAAUUUUAAAACAAAUAAAUAUAUAUGUAAUCUUUGAGAAGGUUAAGCUUGGACACAGUUUAUUUUUUAUGGAGGAACAUUUGUGGAGUCUCCUGUGGCAGCACUUUGCAGCCCUGAGGUAAAGCUGUCCCUGUCCCUGUUCUGUUUCAUGUUUUUUUUGUUAUGUUUGUUUGUUUUUUGUUUUUAUAGCUGCUAUAAUGUAAGUGAUAACAAGAACUUGUUUUAUGGAUGUUCAUAUUAUCAACAUUAAAUAUAACCAUAAACAGUUAAAAAGUAUUAAUAAAUAAAAACAUAUAUUUGGUAAAUUGCUGUAGUAUAAAAGGAAUAAAACAAUUCUGAAUGUGCUGUUAUAGGAAAGUAAUCAGCUUUAGGGUGGUAACAUCACACCACCCCAUCUUUGGCUAUUUUCCUCUAACACAGUGGUCUCCAAACCUCUUCCUUCAGAUUUACCAGGUUUCAUCUCCAAUCAAAAUCAAACCUGUUUUAGUUGAUAAACAACAUCUUAAGGCAAUGAUUAGAUGGUCAGGGGGGCAUGAUUAUGGUUGGAGCUAAAGUCUUCAGGAAGGUAGGUCUCCAGGAACAGAGUUGGUAACUACUGCUCUAACAGCACAUCCUGGUGUGUUUUAUUCUUUAAAUAUCACUUAAUAUCAUAAUGAUCAGAUCACAAAUAUCAAAAGAAAGGUUAGGAAACAGUGUGAAAAAAUUGAGAUUUUUUUUUUCAAACAUUUGCUCACAAUAUUUAUUAACAUUUAGAAAUCUGGUCCUGGUAAGUAAAGCAUGUACAGUCAAUUGUUGUUUCCAGUUUGAACCUUAAAAAUAUGUUUCGUUGUCAUGGUUAUUUGCUUAUAUGUAUGUUGGCUAAAAAGAACUAUAAUAAUAUUUGCAGUUUGUUGAAAGAGAAACCAUAAAGUGUUUUGUGAAAUAUAGAUAAUCUUUUCACAACUGUGUUUAGGAAAAGGUCUAAACCUUGUCAUGACAGUUGGAAAUUAGCAAGUUAAUCACUCUGUAUUAAUGAAUUCUGAUGCUUUAAAUGUAUAAAUGCUAUUAUUUUUCCCCUGAUAUUUUCAUUAUUUAAGCACUAUGAAUCUCUUCUCUAUUUUGGACAUCAUGAUUGGUUAAGGACAUUAAUGCAGUGGUAAUCACAUCGGUGGUGAGAUUAAAAACAGAAAAAAAUCCAUGAAGCCUCCUGUGUUUUCCACAGCCCACCCCACUUGAAACACUAUCACACAACAACAUUCAGAGCCCCUGCGGCUGCUGAUGAUAAAUGAUCUGCCUCUCAACUGCCUCCACGUUCGGAACAGAUAAGGAUAAUGAAAGCUAUGGCACAAACUUCAUACUUAGGAGUUUGUAGAUUUUAAAGGGUUCUGAUUUAAAAAGAAACAUUCACUCAAAUUUUUACAUUUUUACAAGGAGAGUUGAUGUAUUUUAAAAAAGCAUGUCAAUGUUCAAAAAGCAUGUUAACCCUUUACUGCAUGGUGUUGCCAUAUGGCAAAAAUUAAUUUAUCUCCAAUUUUUUGACAGGCAGUAAUAGAAAACUACUAUUUUCCUAUGUAAUUGGGAAAAGUGGGCUUAACUUUGACAUUAAAAAGUGCCAUCUCAAGCAUUUGGUGUUAUUUUUUACUAUUAUGCUAUACUACUUGACUGUAUAUACUAUAUAAUUUACUUUCCACCAAUGCACAUUGUUGCCAUAUGGCAACAAUUUACCAACUUACCCCUCUAAAAAAAAUGUCACAUUUUUUAAGUAUAUUUUUUUCUUGAACUAAUUCAAGUAAUAAAAAUCCAUAAAAAACAUAUUUUGAUGUAAAAGUAACAAUUCAUGCAGUAGAGGGUUAAUACUUCUGUGAAUGUUAAUUUCAAUGGAAAUCAAAUUUGGAUAUGGUUUUUGAAAGUCCUGCUAUAAUUAUCUAUAUCAUUUAUAAUCCAUUAGACAACAUAUGUGAGAAUGAGUGUUUAAUGUAUUUAUGUAAUGUAAUGUAAUGUAUGUAUUUAAUGUAUAUAUGUCUCUCUGGCUUUGUCUGUUUAAGCCUAUAUGCCUAUAAGCCUAAGUUGUGUUCAGUCAACACUGAUGAAGAUUGAUAAUGUUAUAAUUGAGGUAAAGCAUUAGAGAACAAUGAUACCUUGUCAUAAACAUGUAUAGGUCCUGGGAGAUUCUUCAUGACUCUUUAUUAGGAAUUAGCUUCGGUUGGAAUUAGUUUCAACAGAAGGAGUUAAUAGGAUUGGGAACUGGUUCCUUUCUGGCCUGGGACUUCAUAUGAGUGAUAAAAACAUCACUCAUAUACGUACAUGUUAGUGUGAAGCUGCAUGUUUGAGUGCAUAGAAAAGCUUUGAUCUAGUGAAUAUUAGCUGUAUUACCCACUGGUCUUAAGCGAUUCACUGAGAUUUUCAGUGACUAAACACAGUUUCCUGCUGCUUCGUUUAAAACCUUUCGACAUGUUUUAACAUUUAGCUUCCUAAACUCCUGCCGGGUAUUUUUUUGAUAUUGUCACGACUGUACCGGCAGCACAAAGACUGUUGUGUCUGUAAGGUCCUUAAAUUUGCAAUGAGAGUUGGAGGGGCUGCCAGCAAUUUAACCAUUGUGUUGCCAUGACAACGGCAGUAUCUGUAGAAAAUGUAGAAGAUUCUGUCUCCUCCAUUAAAGGCAAUGUUUAUCGAGGGAGCAGAUUACUGGCAAUGAUGAGUGUAUAAUGCAGUAUAUUAGAGAAGAGGUCAAAUGUGUGGGGGGAUGAAUGCAUGAUCUGAGAGUGGAAUAUAUGCAUGGUGUUGUGGGAGCACUGUUUCAAUCGGCCAGUGUGAAUGCCACUAGCAGAAAGGUCACCUAUGGGCUUCCAGCUGUUGUUUGUACUAUUAUAUGCCAGCAUGCUAUGUCAGUUAUUUGUGAAUAGCACUAACUGAAAGAAUGUGUAAAAUUUUGCAAAAUGCUUUUGUAUAAUUACUAGAGCAUUUGACAAAAUCUAAAUUGGAUUCUGCCCUGUGAAAGUUGCCUGAAGAAAAUAACAGUAAUGAGUCUCUAACAAGAUUGGAGAUAUUUGUAGAGCAUUCAUAACAUUUUAAUUUCUUUUAAUAUUUAUAUAGGUUUUUUAUAGUAUACAGUAUUUAGCUUUGUGCAUGUGAACUUCCCUCUGACUGGUCAUUGAUUUUGUGUCUCUUUGCCUAUUUCUGUGUUGAUAUGAAGGUAUGUUUCACUAAUGAUCUUGAUGAAAGCAGUUGAUUUUGAAAUUUGAAGUAACUAAAUUCUACAAUUAUGACAUUUGGGCUCCUUUCUUUACUAUCCUCCUCACUGUGUAGUGGGACAAUGUGCUCAUGGGUCCAAAAAUAAUGCUAUUUUUGUGCUUAUGUAUUUUUUAUAUCCAUAUCUUGAUGUGUAUCCAGGUUAACAAAUAUUUAACUCUCUUGGGUUGAAAGCUCUUUGCUUUUCCAUAGUAAUGGAUGACAAAGCUAUUUUGCAUGUGUGGAACCUCAUAUUUAUACUCUAGGAAACAGGACAUUAAAAACAACAGUGUGUGUUUUAUAUCUAGACACACAGUUGUUGUCUUGGGGGCAUGGUGGCUCCAAAAUUCCUCCAAGUGCAUAGCAGCUACACAUCCAGCAAGUCACAAAAGAGCCAAGGACAACAUCAAAGGACCUACAGGCCUCUCUUGGAUCAAUAAAGGUCACUGUUCAUGACUCCGCUAUCAGAAAAACACUUGGCAAUCAAAAAUGACAUCCAUGGAAGAGGUGAGGUGAAAACCACUCCUAACUCGUCAAACUCAUCUGAAUUUUGCCAAAACACACCUUGAUGAUCUUAAACCUUAUGUUCUGUGGAUUGAUAAGUUGAAAGUGGAACUGUUUGGAAGACAGGUCCUGUUAAAUCUGGCGUAAAGCAAACACUGAAUUCCUCAAAAAAAUCAUACCUACGGUCAAGCGUGGGGGUGGAAGUGUGAUGGUGUGGGGAUGCUUUGCUGCUUCAGGGUCUGGGCAACUUGCAGUAAUUAAGGGAAACAUGAAUUCUGCUCUCUACCAGAAAAUCCUAAAGGAGAAUGUCUGGUCGUCAGUUCGUAAGUUGAAAUUCAAGCACAACUGAAUUAUGCAGUAAGACAAUGAUCCGAAGCAGAGGAGUAAAUCCUAGUCGUAGAAGUAAGUGAAAGACUGAUCUCCAGUUAUUAUUUGGUUGCAGUUAUUGCUGCUAAAGGUGGCACAACCAGAUUUUAAGUUUAAGGGGGCAGUUAGUUUUUCACAUUGGUGAUAGGUAUUAGAUAACUUUUUUUGCAUCAGUAAAAUAAAUAAAUAAAUAACUGUAUUGUGUGUUUACUCAGCUUGCCUUUUUUAUGUUGUAUUUUAUUUGAAG
ensembl:lncRNA